CGUGCUUAACACAUGCAAGUCGAACGGAAAGGCUCCCGCUUGCGGGGGUACUCGAGUGGCGAACGGGUGAGUAACACGUGGGUGAUCUGCCCUGUACUUCGGGAUAAGCCUGGGAAACUGGGUCUAAUACUGGAUAGGACUGCUGGUUGGUGCUGGUGGUGGAAAGCUUUUGCGGUAUGGGAUGAGCUCGCGGCCUAUCAGCUUGUUGGUGGGGUAAUGGCCUACCAAGGCGUCGACGGGUAGCCGGCCUGAGAGGGUGUACGGCCACAUUGGGACUGAGAUACGGCCCAGACUCCUACGGGAGGCAGCAGUGGGGAAUAUUGCACAAUGGGCGCAAGCCUGAUGCAGCGACGCCGCGUGGGGGAUGACGGCCUUCGGGUUGUAAACUCCUUUCGCCAGGGACGAAGCGUUUUGUGACGGUACCUGGAUAAGAAGCACCGGCUAACUACGUGCCAGCAGCCGCGGUAAUACGUAGGGUGCGAGCGUUGUCCGGAAUUACUGGGCGUAAAGAGCUCGUAGGUGGUUUGUCGCGUCGUUUGUGUAAGUCCAUGGCUUAACUGUGGGACUGCAGGCGAUACGGGCAUAACUUGAGUGCUGUAGGGGAGACUGGAAUUCCUGGUGUAGCGGUGAAAUGCGCAGAUAUCAGGAGGAACACCGAUGGCGAAGGCAGGUCUCUGGGCAGUAACUGACGCUGAGGAGCGAAAGCAUGGGUAGCGAACAGGAUUAGAUACCCU
rnacentral:rRNA from 1 species